UACGUAGGUGGCGAGCGUUGUCCGGAUUUACUGGGCGUAAAGGAUGCGUAGGCGGAUUAUUAAGUCAGAUGUGAAAUUCCCGAGCUUAACUUGGGAGCUGCAUUUGAAACUGAUAGUCUGGAGUGCAGGAGAGGUAAGUGGAAUUCCUAGUGUAGCGGUGAAAUGCGUAGAGAUUAGGAAGAACACCAGUGGCGAAGGCGACUUACUGGACUGUAACUGACGCUGAGGCAUGAAAGCGUGGGGAG
rnacentral:rRNA from 1 species